rnacentral:lncRNA from 1 species
AUAGCUCCUUGCGUCGUCCUCAACUUAAGUGGAACCCUUCUCGUAAGCCUCCAGGUUUCUGCCCCGUACAUCACUUGUAUUACGACCUGCUGUUGAGUGAAAAUAAGAGUAUUGUGCCCCCAAAAUGUGAAGAAUUCUUUCAAACCAAAAAAGGCGACAACCGAGAGAGUAAAAAUGAUGGGAUCGAUACCUGCAAGCCCAAAAUAAAGUGACCAACUCAACACUGCGCACUCACAAGAAAGAAAGCUAAAUUUUUCUGAAGCUCUUUGGACAUACACAAGAUAGCAUAUUUGUAACAUUCUUAUAAAAUGGCAAUUAUACUGCUAC